GUGACAUGGUGUAAGGAGAGGGCCGGACAGCAAGGCGGGUCUGAGUUUGAGUCUCAGCCCUACGACAUUGUCAAGGAGUUUCUGGUGGAGUAUUUCAGAUUGCUUAUAUGUGGAAUCAUAAUCUGCAAGUGCAGAAUGGUUAGAGUGUCAUGAGGCCGUGUAUGUACCAGAGGAGACAAAAGAAUGGCAAGGAUGCAUCCAAUAAGGCCUUGGAGACAUGCCCACAGGUGAUCGAGGAGAAGAAUGCCAGAGGCCAGCAUGGCUUGUCUCACAUGUUCGUGUGACUCAGUACAAAAGCGUUUAUCAGCUAAAGACAUCUAACCUUGCUUGGUGUGACAUUAUCUCUUCAGCAAAGUCCUGAUAACAGUAGUUUGCCAUGGCCCACAUAGUUAUCCAGAAAAGCAGUUUAUUAUGUUAGAUACAGUUUAAAUUAGUAAAUAUC